rnacentral:rRNA from 1 species
UUUGACCUCAGAUCAGGCAGGACUACCCGCUGAACUUAAGCAUAUCAAUAAGCGGAGGAAAAGAAACUAACAAGGAUUCCCGUAGUAACGGCGAGUGAAGAGGGAAGAGCUCAAAUUUGAAAUCUGGCGGCCUUACGGUCGUCCGAGUUGUAAUCUAGAGAAGUGUUUUCCGUGCUGGACCGUGUACAAGUCCUUUGGAACAAGGCGUCAUAGAGGGUGAGAAUCCCGUCUACGACACGGACUACCAGUGCUCUGUGAUACACUCUCAACGAGUCGAGUUGUUUGGGAAUGCAGCUCAAAAUGGGUGGUAAAUUCCAUCUAAAGCUAAAUAUGGGCGAAAGACCGAUAGCGAACAAGUACCGUGAGGGAAAGAUGAAAAGCACUUUGGAAAGAGAGUUAAACAGUACGUGAAAUUGUUGAAAGGGAAACGCUUGAAGUCAGUCGCGUCUUCAGAAACUCAGCCUGGCUUCUGCCUGGUGUACUUUUCUGUGGGACGGGCCAGCAUCAGUUUCGGCCGCCAGAAAAAGGUGGGAGGAAGGUGGCACCUCCGGGUGUGUUAUAGCCUCCCAUCGUAUGUGGCGGCGGGGACUGAGGACUGCAGCACGCCUUUAUGGCCGGGGUUCGCCCACGUAACGUGCUUAGGAUGCUGGCGUAAUGGCUUUAAGCGACCCGUCUUGAAACACGGACCAAGGAGUCUAACAUGCCUGCGAGUAUUUGGGUGGUAAACCCAUAUGCGGAAUGAAAGUGAACAGUUGGGACUUCUGUCAUGGAAGGCACCGACGCCCGGACCAGACCUACUGUGACGGAUCCGAGGUAGAGCAUGUAUGUUGGGACCCGAAAGAUGGUGAACUAUGCCUGAGUAGGGUGAAGCCAGAGGAAACUCUGGUGGAGGCUCGUAGCGAUUCUGACGUGCAAAUCGAUCGUCGAACUAGGGUAUAGUGGCGAAAGACUAAUCGAAC